rnacentral:tRNA from 1 species
UGCCGGGUCGUCUAAUGGUAGGACGCAUGACUCUGGAUCAUGUUGCUGAGGGUUCGAAUCCUUCCCCGGCAGCCA